rnacentral:lncRNA from 1 species
AUAGAAAUUUUCUGAUAUAAAAAUGUAUAUGGGAAUGUAUGUGCAUAUGUAUGCAUAUAUAAUAAUUUAGCAAAAGUGGGUUAAAGCUUGGAAAAGUAUAGCAUUUUGUUAACUUUUGGGUUUUUUUCAACUCAGUAGAUGGGGAAUUUCAAAAUUUUGAGCUCCUGCCUUUUAAAUUUUAAUAACAGAAUUCUGGCUUGCAAGGGGGCACGUGGGCAUCUUUGCUGCGCAAGCCCGAUGGCUGGAGUUGAUUCUUCUUCCUCACAGGUUGUACAUAUUUUAUGAGUAAGAGCAAGGGAGAGUUGAGGAAAGGAUGGCUGAGGCAGUAAUUGUCAAAUGCAGGUAGUCAGUGAAUAUUUGUUAUUUGCAUUAAAGAAUGCACAGUGCAUUGCAUUUUUAAAAAUAGUUAUUUUCUCUUUUAGCAAUUUUGAAAGGAUUUCAAAUUCCUGGGGGUGACUCUACUGCUAAGAAACAAUUAUAAUUGUAUUAUUCCUCCAGGGGCUACACCAUUGGAAGCAAAAUGAUGAAGAAGUCUAAUAGCCCUUGCGUGGAGAGGUGCUUCUUGCUGGCCUCUGUGUUUCUCUUUCUCUCUAGGUCUUGGUUAGCUAACAGACUCAUAGCAGAAGAACAAAGACCAUGAAUAGUGCUCCCAAGGUAUCAAGAGAAGCUCACCUACUCCAGCCAUCCCAGGAGACACCAGUAUGGACCAGAUCACUAGAAAACCAUCUGACAGCCAGCUGGAUGCCCUGGGACAUCUUUCUCCUAAUGAAAUACAACUGCAAUUCAAAUCUUUGCCAAACAAUAUGCUUGUUGAGCAGAUCAUAAAGGGGAUGAGUGAAGAAAAUUGAAAGUGUUUAAUGAUAUCAGCCUCUGAUUUUCAUAGCCAAGAUGGUUACCAGGUGAACAUAAAUUUGGGAGACCUCCCUCCACUGGUGAUGCUUACAUGGAAACACUUAUGUGCUACAUGAAUGAAAGGGUUGGAAUAACAGAAGUGAGUUCUCAUUGUGCCUCAGUCACUUACUAAUUCUGUUACUGUGGGGAAGUGAUUUAACCUACCUGAGUCUCAAAUUCCUCAUCUGGAAUGGGGAAGGGAAACAGUGUCCCCUUCCUAAGGAGGUUAUAGGGUCAGGCGAGUUAACGCAUGCAGUUUUUAACGAGGAAGCGGUACUGCCAAAUCGGGCUUGUUGGCUCUGUGUUUAAUGCUCCUGUGUUGAUUGGCAGAAUAUUUUGUUAAAUAAACUCAAGUAACUUAUUUG